rnacentral:rRNA from 1 species
AACGAACGCUGGCGGCAUGCCUAACACAUGCAAGUCGAACGAGACCUUCGAGUCUAGUGGCGCACGGGUGCGUAACGCGUGGUAACCUGCCCUUAGGUUCGGAAUAACUCCCCGAAAGGGGUGCUAAUACCGGAUAAUGUCUUCGGACCAAGGAUUUAUCGCAUUUGGAUGGGCACGCGUUGGAUUAGCUAGUUGGUAGGGUAAAAGCCUACCAAGGCGACGAUCCAUAGCUGGUCUGAGAGGAUGAUCAGCCACACUGGGACUGAGACACGGCCCAGACUACUACGGGAGGCAGCAGUGGGGAAUAUUGGACAAUGAGCGAAAGCCUGAACCAGCAAUGCCGCGUGAAUGAUGAAGGCCUUAGGGUUGUAAAGCUCUUUUACCCGGGAUGAUAAUGACAGUACCGGGAGAAUAAGCACCGGCUAACUCCGUG